CAGUAGCCGCGGUAAUACGUAGGGUGCAAGCGUUAAUCGGAAUUACUGGGCGUAAAGCGUGCGCAGGCGGUUAUGCAAGACAGAUGUGAAAUCCCCGGGCUCAACCUGGGGACUACAUUUGUGACUGCAUGACUAGAGUACGGCAGAGGGGGAUGGAAUUCCGCGUGUAGCAGUGAAAUGCGUAGAUAUGCGGAGGAACACCGAUGGCGAAGGCAGCCCCCUGGGCCAAUACUGACGCUCAUGCACGAAAGCGUGGGGAGCAAACAGGAUUAGAUACCCCGGUAGUCCCUGUCUCUUAUAC
rnacentral:rRNA from 1 species